rnacentral:miRNA from 1 species
AACCUCAUCAACCAGAAGGGAUUCCUUCCUGUCAAUGAGGUAUAACAACCUCAUCAGCCAGAAGGGAUUCCUUCCAAUGGACAAGGCUCAAAAACCUCCUUGACCAGAAGGAACCCCUUCUGGUCGAUGAAGCGUAAUAACUUCAUUGACCAGAAGGAAUUCUUUCUGGUCAAUGGUGUU